rnacentral:lncRNA from 1 species
CGCUCAGGCUGCUCAGUCGAUGUGAGGACUGUGAGGAAGGGUUCCCAACAGGACAGUCCGAAGGAUACCCAAAUCCUGAGGGCUACAGAAUGACAGAAAGGAGCUGGAAUCAGCACCAGGAGAGCAGGAGAGCGACCUGGCUGUGAUCUCAGGUCAAGCCCAAAAGAUAGCAUCUUCCCAUGUCCAGAUGGACUGCUCUAUAUGCCUGGUCCUCACCUGGGUGACAUUUUGUGACCAGAAGAGAAAGGCCAAGAGAAACAAACAUCAGCUUCUCUAACCUAUUUAUAGCCAGGAGGAUAGAAUCACAAGGUUUUCAAGGUUUAUAGGUGAUGGGCUGCUCUCAAAAGGAGCUUUGUUGUGAAAACGUACCAAAAGAAGAUGGAUGAGUGAUUAUCCAAUACGUUGCUUUUCAAUCCUAUGACAUCCUCACCUCUGCCCUAUGGGUAGAUUCUUUGAUGUCUGAAAAGUUUCUGUACAUAAAGAGGAACAUUCAUUACUAUUGUUUAAUGCCCCAUUUGUUAACUGUAUGACUUUAUUAAAAAAUUAUCAUUUUUGAAGGAGUAAACCAUCACUAUUUUAAGUAUUCACAUAGUACUUUCAAAACUAAUAAAUAUAGACUUGGAAUAAAACAAAUUAGAUUU